rnacentral:rRNA from 1 species
GACGAACGCUGGCGGCGUGCUUAACACAUGCAAGUCGAACGGAAAGGCCUGCUUUCCCUUGUGGAUUGCGGGUACUCGAGUGGCGAACGGGUGAGUAACACGUGAGUGAUCUGCCCCCAACUUGGGUAUAAGCCCGGGAAACUGGGUCUAAUUCCCGAUAGGACUGCAGGGUGGUGCCUGUGGUGGAACACGAUUUUCUAGUGGUUGGGGAUGAGCUCGCGGCCUAUCAGCUUGUUGGUGGGGUCAUGACCUACCAAGGCGGCGACGGGUAGCCGGCCCGGGAGGGUGGACGGCCAGAGUGGGACUGAGAUACGGCCCAGACUCCGACGGGAGGCAGCAGGGGGGAAUAUUGCGCAAGGGGCGGAAGCCUGAUGCAGCGACGCCGGGUGGGGGAUGACGGCCUUCGGGUUGUAAACUCCUUUCGACCGCGAGGAAGCCACCUGGUUGGAAGGGUGGUGACGGUAGUGGUAGAAGAAGCACCGGCUAACUACGUG